GAUGAACGCUGGCGGCGUGCCUAAUCCAUGCAAGUCGAGCGAACAGACGAGGCACUUGCCACUCUGACGUUAGCGGCGGACGGGUGAGUAACACGAGGAUCCACUCCCUAUAAGACUGGGAUAACUUCGGGAAACCGGAGCUAAUACCGGAUAAACUACUGAACAGCAUGGUUCAAUAGUGAAAGAAGGCUUUGCUGCCACUUAUAGAUGGAUCCGCGCCGCAUUAGCUAGUUGGUAAGGUAACGGCUUACCAAGGCAACGAUGCAUAGCCGACCUGAGAGGGUGAUCGGCCAAACUAGAACUGAGACACGGUGCAAGCGCCUACGGGAGGCAGCAGUAGGGAGUCUUCCGCAAUGAGCGAAGUCUUGCCGGAGCAACGCCGCGUAGGGGAUAAAGGUCCUCGGAUCGUAAAACUCUGUUAUUAGGGAAGAACAAAUUUGUAAGUAAAGUGGCACGUCUUGACGGGACCUAAUCAGAAAGCCACGGCUAGCUACGUG
rnacentral:rRNA from 1 species